GCCGGUCCUCGGUAGUGGUCUCCGGGACGGCCCCGGUGCUCCGAGAGCACCGAGGGGCCCGAGGACUUCGAUCGAAGACCGGC
rfam:Actinokineospora spheciospongiae strain EG49 contig1283_7, whole genome shotgun sequence.